CGGCCUGGUUAUUCAUAACCCUUUGUUGUCCGACUCUGUUGCCUCCGGGGCGACCCUGCCUUCGGGCGGGGGCUCCGGGUGGACACUUCAAACUCUUGCGUAACUUUGCAGUCUGAGUAAACUUAAUUAAUAAAUUAAAACUUUUAACAACGGAUCUCUUGGUUCUGGCAUCGAUGAAGAACGCAGCGAAAUGCGAUAAGUAAUGUGAAUUGCAGAAUUCAGUGAAUCAUCGAAUCUUUGAACGCACAUUGCGCCCCCUGGUAUUCCGGGGGGCAUGCCUGUUCGAGCGUCAUUUCACCACUCAAGCCUCGCUUGGUAUUGGGCAACGCGGUCCGCCGCGUGCCUCAAAUCGUCCGGCUGGGUCUUCUGUCCCCUAAGCGUUGUGGAAACUAUUCGCUAAAGGGUGUUCGGGAGGCUACGCCGUAAAACAACCCCAUUUCUAAGGUUGACCUCGGAUCAGGUAGGGAUACCCGCUGAACUUAAGCAU
rnacentral:rRNA from 1 species